GGCUUAGAGUUUGAUCAUGGCUCAGGAUGAACGCUGGCGGCGUGCUUAACACAUGCAAGUCGAGCGAAGCGCUUCUGCAGAUUUCUUCGGAAUGAAGCGGAAGUGACUGAGCGGCGGACGGGUGAGUAACGCGUGGGGAACCUGCCCCAUACCGGGGGAUAACAGUUAGAAAUGACUGCUAAUACCGCAUAAGCGCACAGGGACGCAUGUCCUGGUGUGAAAAACUCCGGUGGUAUGGGAUGGACCCGCGUCUGAUUAGGUAGUUGGUGGGGUAAUGGCCCACCAAGCCGACGAUCAGUAGCCGACCUGAGAGGGUGACCGGCCACAUUGGGACUGAGACACGGCCCAAACUCCUACGGGAGGCAGCAGUGGGGAAUAUUGCACAAUGGGGGAAACCCUGAUGCAGCGACGCCGCGUGAAGGAAGAAGUAUUUCGGUAUGUAAACUUCUAUCAGCAGGGAAGAAAAUGACGGUACCUGACUAAGAAGCCCCGGCUAACUACGUGCCAGCAGCCGCGGUAAUACGUAGGGGGCAAGCGUUAUCCGGAUUUACUGGGUGUAAAGGGAGCGUAGACGGAGGAGCAAGUCCGAUGUGAAACUCCGGGGCUUAACCCCGGAACUGCAUUGGAAACUGUUUAUCUGGAGUGCCGGAGGGGUAAGCGGAAUUCCUGGUGUAGCGGUGAAAUGCGUAGAUAUCAGGAGGAACACCGGUGGCGAAGGCGGCUUACUGGACGGUAACUGACGUUGAGGCUCGAAAGCGUGGGGAGCAAACAGGAUUAGAUACCCUGGUAGUCCACGCCGUAAACGAUGACUACUAGGUGUCGGGUAGCAAA
rnacentral:rRNA from 1 species